UGUGAGAGGGGGCUUGCCCCCGAUGGCGGUGUAUCAGUCAAUAUAUUCAUGACUGACACACUGCCAUCGGGGGCAAGCCCCCUCCCACA
rnacentral:misc_RNA from 1 species